AGUGUCAUUUCUGUUUCUCACUACCUCCUGCCCCCUUGCUGGCUGCUGUUCUGGGCCUGUGGGCCGGUUACAGCAAGGGAAAGAAGAAAGAGGAUGUGUCACGCUCUCCCAAUGGUCCUCUAGAAGUGCCCCCCUCAUUUGGCAUGAGGUGAAGAGGAAGCACCUCCACCCUCUCCUGCUUGGGGAGCAGAAGGGAAAUGUCCAGCGUACUGACAGCUGCUUCCAAAGGAAUCUUCUCACAUUCUCUCACAGAGCCUGGAGUUUGACUGAGCUGACAGUAAAGGAAGCCAGAACAACCAGAGGUCAGAAAGAAGGAGUGCUUGGGACGAGAGAAUGUAAACAUCGACAGAACAGCAGCCCUAUGACCACAUGAGUACUUUUCCAUCAGGUAGAUUCCAUCAGCCAGCCGAGUGUGUCAUCUCCUUUGCUUGCUGGGAAGUCACUGAGAUUUCCGUGGUAAUUUAGUGUCCCCUUUACUUUG